CAAUCAAGAGAAAGAGACAGAGCCACACUGACAAGACCACGUUCUAGAGAGAAGGAAAUAUGAGAGGCUCAAGGGCAGGGCUGUGAGGACAAGCAGGGGAGAUGAGAUGAGAACACAGAACACAAACAUUGAACCUGCUGAGCCUGUAUGAAGCUACUAUCCCAGGACUGUGAAAAGUAGACUAGUUGAGGAAGAAUUCAAGUCGACACUGAACUAGUGGUAGAGCUCUCAUCAUACAGAUCGUUGGAAAGUAGCAUCCCGACAGUUCUGAGAGAAAAAAA